rnacentral:rRNA from 1 species
UACGAAGGGGGCUAGCGUUGCUCGGAAUCACUGGGCGUAAAGCGCACGUAGGCGGCUUUUUAAGUCAGGGGUGAAAUCCUGGAGCUCAACUCCAGAACUGCCCUUUGAUACUGAGAGCUUGAGUCCGGGAGAGGUGAGUGGAACUGCGAGUGUAGAGGUGAAAUUCGUAGAUAUUCGCAAGAACACCAGUGGCGAAGGCGGCUCACUGGCCCGGUACUGACGCUGAGGUGCGAAAGCGUGGGGAGCAAACAGG